rnacentral:tRNA from 1 species
GGCGACGUAGCUCAGUGGCCAGAGCAGGGGUUUCAUAAGCCCUGUGUCCUGGGUUCGAAUCCCAGCGUCGCCA